AGCGAACGCUGGCGGCGUGCUUAACACAUGCAAGUCGAGCGAAGGUGUUUCAAGGGUAACCUUGAGAUACACUUAGCGGCGGACGGGUGAGUAAUACGUGGAUAACUUACCUCUAGGCCUGGGAUAACCCCGGGAAACUGGGGCUAAUACCUGAUAAGACCACAUUGUCUACGGACAAAGGGGUAAAAGGUGGCUGUGCAAACAGCUAUCGCCAAAAGAUAGGUUCACGUCCCAUCAGGCAGUUGGUGAGGUAAUGGCUCACCAAACCAAAGACGGGUAGCCGGCCUUGGCGGGUGAACGGCCACACGGGGACUGAGACACGGCCCCGACUCCUACGGGAGGCAGCAGUGGGGAAUAUUGGGCAAUGGGCGCAAGCCUGACCCAGCGACGUCGCGUUGGGGAAGAAGGCCUU
rnacentral:rRNA from 1 species